UCUGAUGAUAAUAGCGAGAGUGACCAACCUGAUACCAUUCCGAACUCAGAAGUUAAACCUCUCAGCGCCAAUGGUAGUGUAGCUUCGGCUAUGUGAGAGUAGGUCAUUGUCAGGC
rnacentral:rRNA from 1 species